rnacentral:misc_RNA from 1 species
GAUGAAGAACGUAGCGAAAUGCGAUAAGUAAUGUGAAUUGCAGAAUUCAGUGAAUCAUCGAAUCUUUGAACGCACCUUGCGCCCUUUGGCCAUUCCGAAGGGCAUGCCUGUUUGAGUAUCAUGAACACCUCAACUCUUUAUGGUUUUCCAUGAUGAGCUUGGACUCUGGGGGUUUUGCUGGCUCACAGUCGGCUCCUCUAAAAUAAAUCAGCUUACCAGUGUUUGGUGGGUAUCAUGGGUGUGAUAACUAUCUACGCUUGUGGUUUUUCCACCAGGUAACCUUCAGCAGUGGAGGUUCGCUGGAGCUCAUAGCCGUCUCUCCUCAGUGAGGACAGCCCUUUGAACGUUUGAUCUCAAAUCAGGUAGGACUACCCGCUGAACUUAAGCAUAUCAAUAAGCGGAGGA